GAGACACCCUUAUGGGGCAGGACUUGCUUCAGUGGGGCUUUGGUGCUCACUGAGUCUGCCCCUUGUGUGUGUCACU
rfam:Myotis lucifugus cont2.20815, whole genome shotgun sequence.